AUUUGGGUUAUGAGGCUUUGGUGUGAGUAUAUCAUCAGUGUUGCUUUAUGUGGGACACGGAUAUCAAUUACCACCUUUCUUGCUCUAAAAUUACUAAUUAAUAUCAUCAUUGACUUAUUUUUCUAAGGGUUAUUUGGUUAAUCCUAUAGAGUAUAUAUUUGUAGCAACAAUUUUUUUGGCUAUAAUUUUCUCAUUUCCCUGCGCUGCUAGUGUACUGAGUACCUUAAUAUUGCACACUUUGGCGAAUAGCGCCGAACCUCUUUACAGACUCCCCACGUACUUCUUUUCACCUCAUUUUGCCCAGUGGCUCUGGCCUGGAAGGGCUAAGUGCAUAGUUCUCCCCAGUUUUUGUGCAUUUUGUACCUGUCGCCGAUAGUCAAUAACCGUAACAAUUCUUUAACACCUCAAGAGACCUCCCACCCUCCGCCACCUUUUAAAAGAAAGGGCUCUGUUUCCUGCAGUGGUUAAUAGAUAAUUUACUUGUUUUUAAAAAUUGCACUGGUAUAUUUAUCAGUAUUGUUUUGCUUCUGCUCUGCUUAUAAAGGUGGGUAAGAUUUGUGUGCUCUAUCCGCAUUCUAUCUCCCCCUAAGUCCACCUUGCUUUUUUUAUUGUGUGAUUUUGUUGAUCUUGAGGUUCUUCAGAAAUAUAUAUCAUGUUAUCAUAUUAUACUGUAUAUUAGAGUGGCAAUGCUGAUAUUAAAAUUUCAGAAGUACAUAUGUUACCUUUUUCAUCUAUACCACUACUAAUCUUGCAUUUACAGUAAACCUCACUGCUAUCUCUGAGUUCUUUUUCUACACACAAGUAGGAACUGGUGAGGUAGGUGAGCCGAGGAAUCUUUUUUCUUGCCUGGUGGGCCUUGAAUAAAAAUGUCUCAUCCAAUUUUAUCACUUAUCUCCAGGACUCUAGCCAUGGUCAGAAAUAAUUUCUUGUUGCUUGUAAUGAACUUCAGGAAAAAAGUAUAAAGAAUUUUAUAACUACAUUUAAAUUCAGUUAUCUGCAUUUAAUAUACCUCAUAUGUAGAAGGCAUAGGGAUGGGGAAAAAUGGAGAAAUAAUGAAAAGACAGGAGUUUCCUAUUUAUCUAGGAUUUGUAUGCCACUUCCACAAAAUCAGAGUGUUGUAAACAUAUACCGUAUUUUCCUCUGUAAGAACUUAUUAAUAAAUAAAAGUUCUUAAAAUGUACAUUAUUUUCGAUUCUUACCUUUAUCCAGAUUUCCAGGAGACACGGCAUUUAAAUCACCAAACUGCAAAACAAUAGUCAUUUGUGCAAUAGUUAAUAUAGGGCAGAAUAAAAUAAUACUCUAUCAGUCUGUAGUAAAAAUGCCAAUCUAUGACUCUUUAAAACUGUAAACUAGUGGCCAUUUUGAUCUCUAAUUACAUGGAUCACAUAAUUUUCCAAUCAAACUUGUCAAAUUUGAACAGUUUAAAUUAUGUCACAAUUUAGCUGUCUUAGCCUCUUCGCAGAAGGAUAACAAUUUUCUCUGCUUUCCUUGCUCCAUUUUACCUUUUAUUAUUUCAACUCAGCAAUGAAGAAAUAGGAGCCUGGAUGACUUGGAUGAAGACUGAUGUGGCAAAACGAAUUUGGAAAAGCCCCAAUCAAGCAGGACACAUCAGCUCCACCCCCUAUACUUGGCAGAUGAGUCCACCUGGAAGUCUCUACAUUAGAGAAACAAUAUCCAGCAGUUUGGCUGAACUCUAUUUUUAAAGCUUUUAUUAGUAAAAAAGGAAAAUAGAAACUCCAAAAUUGAGUGUAUUUGUUUUUACAAAAUCUUUGAGACUUCUCUCAGAUAAUAGGGUCUCACUUUAAAAAGAAAAGCAUCUGAUCAUUACUAAUGCCAACAAAGAGAGCUUGAAACAAUAUAGAACAAUUAAUAGCCUUCGGCUUAGACAUUAUUUUCUAACUUUUAGUUCAAUAGUUUGAUAAUUUUCCAAUGAGAAAACACAUUUUGAGAAUCUCAGGGUGAACAAAGAUGGAUACACUGAAAUAAAAAUUGAAUAGAGUAACAAAGCUAAUCAAAAAAAGGUGAAGAGAAACUGCAAAGCAUCUACUUUUAAAACAGUAAACAUUACUUUUUUAAGGUAAUAAGUCAUUAUUAGAAAUUCAGAUUUCUCAACAGGCUUAGAAAGGAUGAGGCAGAAAUUCUACUUACAUUCAGAAGUUUGCUUAUAAAGAGUUCCAUGAUAGGAGUAUUUUUUUCAUCUACAAGGUUUGUCUAUAAAGUAAUAAAACUGAUCUUAUUUUGCAAACAUACACAUAUUUUUUUCCUUACCUAGACAAGUACUGUUCUUCACAGUAGCUACCUUGGGAGCUUAUACAUUUAUUCCAAGGUCCAGGGUUCUGGAAUCCCUCUUUGACAAUUUCAAGAGUUAGUUUAUGCAUCAUUAGGAAAGCCCAUCUUGUUAUUUUACAUCCAACUAUGGCUCCAAACAACACUCCAGAUUUUAUUUACUACACUUGGUCCUGGGAUGAUUUGACUACUCAACAAAAUUAAAUUCACCUCUGCCACAAUUCAGGUUACUUAAAAUAAUGUCAUUUCACCUUUAUUUCUUAGCAUUUCAGAGGCAUUCCACAACAUAUUUAAGCCAUAGAAGCAUUACUGGAACAAAUGUGUAGCCUUCCUAGGUGACUGCUUUGAAGGAGACAGGGGCCUCCUAGACAUGUAAUUAUUAGUAUGUUUAUUUGAAAGUCUGCCCCACUGUUUUAGAGCUAUUUUUUAGAGUUAUUAAAAGUAAUGGAAAAAACCACUAUUACUUUUGUACCAACCUAAUACAUCCCACGGGGCAACAAAUAUAAAUCAUAAAUACUGAAGUUUUGCAGUUGUUCUUGAUCACAUAGGUCAGGUCUUUUAUAAGUCUAAAUAAAAAUUCAGUGUAAAUUAUGUGGAUUUUCUUGAAUUAAAGAAUAUAAUCUAAACAACAAAAACCCAGAGGGAUUCUUCAUCAAUUUUUGGUAUUAUUUAAAUAUUUUAGAACUAUAAACAGAGAAUGUUCAAAACUGAAGGAUCAUUUAACAGUUAUUACUAACUGACAUAACACAAGAAGAUACAGAUUUAAGGGAAUACUUAACACUUAAGUUCUUGAAAGGAGUUGGUAGUGAUGAUUCUAAACACACCUUUAUACUGAUAAAAAGUGAGUAUUCUAUUUGCUGUUGAAAAGUCUCUGCAAGUUGUUUGUAGUUAAGUUAUUAUUGCUAUUGCUGAUCAAUAAUAUCACACAAAGUGUCUAAAACCAAACUCUGGACAUAUUUGAAAAUUAUCUUCAAAAGAAACAUUGCAUUUAGUUGCUACUUAACUCCGAAAACAUGACAACUUCCUUAAUACAAAGAUUUUCCUUAGAUGUUUCUACUUAAUACGAAUAAUACAUUUGAUAAUUCAGAGGCUGAAAACAGAAACCAAAACAGCUGAAAUCUCAGUGAUUGUUAUUAUCAUUAACAAAAAUCCAGUUACAUACUAAAUUCCGAGGCUUGUCAUUAUGCACUAUGGGGGACAAUGUACAAAGAAUGUCAGAGACACUGUCAAUACCUCUAGGUGUCUCUGGGAUCAACGACAAAGUUUCACAUGUACAGCAAAUAGAGAGAGUAGAUUAAAAAUUUUAAAAAUCCUGUGAAGAAGAGAUAAGAUUUUACUAUCCUAUAGAGCUGAAGGUAAAGGCUUUUAUAUGCAUUUUACAUGUGAGGGGACAACAGAUGUAAAGUUACAGAGGAAAAAACACUUUAACCCUAUAGAUAGGCUGCAUGAGAUCCGCAAAAUCAGUUCACUUACUCAUUUAGUCAAUACAUAUUUAUUGAGGAUUUACUACUUGCCAGGCACUAUGCCAGCCAAUUCUAGUCAGAUCAAUUUGGAAAUAUUCCUGUCUUCAGGAGGUAAGUAGCAGACAUUCCCUAUAUUCUGAAGGGUAGGUAGGUUAGCAGAAAAAUGAGCGCUUAGGAAACCUCAGGGAAGGUUUUAGAAGUAUAGGGUUCAAGUCUUAGAAAUGGAAACCAAUUGCAUGGGUUUAUGGCAUGCAACAAGUCAAGCAGCAGGAAGGAAGGGUAUGAACAGUGGCAGGGAAGAUUGAGAGCAGGCAGAAGAAAAAUAGUACCAUAGAUAGGGGCCAGAUGACAAGAUUAGGCCAGCACAAAUCAAAAACAGAAGAGAGGUCAGGCAUGGAAGCUCACAAGAAACUAUAGGGAUUAUUAUGAAGUUGCAGCAUCACAAAUUGGGAAAACUUACUGUUUUGUAAUUUCUCCUCUUGCACAAAGGAUUAGAGGGGGCUACUCUUCACUGACGUGACAUCUUACCACUUAUAAGGUGUGUCUGUGGUUCAGUAUACAGUAGGCUUUCUCUCAAACAGACUGCGAGUGUCACACAGUCAAUAUUGCUUCCCUGAAGCUUUCCUGGCAGCCCUAUCUUGAGUAUCACCAUCCCUGUCACUCUCAGUCACCGCAUCAUGCUCACUUCCUACAAAGCACCCACCACAACCUGCCGAACUUAUUUUGUUUCCUCACCUAAUAUAUGUCUUCCCAACCAAAAUGUUACUGCCAUGGGUAAGAAAGUUCAUUUGUUCUCUUCAUAAAUGUAUCCCACCUGGUAUAGUGCCUGAUACACAUUAAAGGCUGAAUAAAUACUUACCAGAUGAAUGAAUUUACUUCCUCAUUUCAGCCUCACCAAAACAACUUAGGAAUUUGGCAAGUUAAGUGUUUAGAUUUCAUCUUACAGCUAUUGAAAACAAUGAGUUGAUUAGUCUAAUGUCAUGUAGUAAAUAUGGUGUUGUUAGAUUUGAGACCAGAUAUUCUCCUUGGUUUAGAAUCUGAGAGAGAGAGAGAGAGAGAGAGAGAGAGAAAUGGGAUGGGAUGUGGGGUGAGAGAGGGAGGGGAGGGAGGGGAAGGGAACAGAGAGAGACAGACAGAGAGAAACACCCACACAUGGAGGAAGAAAUAUAAAUUAAGGGAUUUUAAAAGUACUCUGGAGUUAGAAAGUAUAUGGCCUUCAAUGUAUGAAUUCACAUUCCAUCAGUCAGAGAGAUAAAUAGGAAACGUUCCGAAGAGAAACUAGAACAGACAGUAGAGAAAGCAUGUCUAUUGUUUGAGAGAAGAAAUACUUCCUAUCCUAUAGACUAUUUCCUCUGGGUCCUGACUAGGGUCAAAAUAACGAACACCUCACUGGACAACAGCAGGCUGGGAAAUGCAUGCUCCAGGCAGCCAGUGAGAGUCUAUUAGCACAAAUAUUCGUGUAAGACUAGCAAUGUCCAUGAAGUAUAAGUGGGCAACAGCUUAGCACAGCCAGGGCAAUGAUCGGCAGGAUCCCUGAGAGACCCUGGGUUGUGGCCAGGCAGCUGGAUUGUUCAUUACAGGAUUUUGAGGCCUAGUAUCUAUACCUGAGCAUACUGAGAGGAACCUGGCUCAGCGUGGGAGAAUGCAGCCCACAGGUGCAUUAAAGAGACCACUGUACAUUCAAUUCAGCAACAGCUGACUUUUCAUAGUGAGGCAGGCAAGCCUUGUUCUGUAAUGUUUGGGCACUGAAACAACGCAGAGGAAGUUAGGGUGCCUAGACAGCAAACAGGUGGGGAUCCAUGGUGGGGGCCAAGAAACAGAGACUGGAACAGAAGUAGGAGAGAAGGAAAGAGCUCAGGGGAUUGGGAUGAAGACCUCACCCUUAGGGACACCUUCCCUGCUGGAAGAGUUUACCCCACCCUGAGGAGAAAGAAUUAGUGAGUAAUCAUAAUCACAUUUAUGUUAUACGUAUCAUUAAUUCUUUGUAAGCACAGCCAUCGCUUGCUAAUUGUUUAAGCAAAUCUGUAACAAGUUCCCCAAUAGUGUUAAUUUGGAUCUUUCCAAAGAACCAAGAUAAAGUACUUCGCAUAGUGCCUGGCACAUAAGGAAGCACUUAACAAAUGAUCACCAUUAUCAAUAUUGUUAUUAUGUAUAAAUAUCAUCAUUAUCUCCCAAGAACUGUAAACCAGACAUGCAGAAUCAGUCCGACUCUACUAUCCCAGUACUCUGAAAGGAUACCAAAAGCUGCAUAGAAAAAUUGCAUCUUACAGAAAAUCUCCCUGUUAGUAUAUCCAGAUUACAGAUUUACGGGUAGGCACAUUUUCAUCCUUCCUCUCUGUCUCUUUCUCUAUUUAUAUGUCCAAGUCUAAUAUCACUAUGUUAACUAUCACCCAGGAAACAAAAUAAAACAAAACUGAUACCAGCAAAAUAUGAAAGUGUAUGGUCUAGAAGAGGGGCUGGCACACUUUUUCAGUAAGGGACCAGAUGGUAAAUAUUUUACGCUUUAUAGUCCAUUAGGACUCUGUCACAGUUAUUCAACCCUACCAGUGUAGUGCAAAAAUAGCCAUAGAUAACAGGUAUAUGAAUGUGUGUAACAUAGCUCUAAUAAAACUUUACAAAAACAAGGCUGGGCACAGUGGCUUACGCUUGUAAUACUAGCACUUUGGGAAGCACAGGUGUGCGUAUUGCUUAAGCCCAGGAGUUUGAGGCUAGCCUGGGCAACAUGGCAAAACCCCAUCUCUACAAAAAAUACAAAAAAGUUAGCUGGGUGUGGUGGCACACGCCUGUAGUCCCAGCUAGUCGGGAGGCUAAGGUAGGAGAAUCACCGUCCAAGGUGGUCGAGGCUGCAGUGAACUGUGAUCGUGCCACUGUACUCCAGCCUGGGUGACAGAGCAAGACCCAGUCUCAAAACAAACAAACAAACAAACAAAAAAACCCAAAAGCACCCCACCCCAAAAUCAAACCACUUCAUUUACAAAAACAGAUGAUGAGCUGGAUAGGGCCUGUGGACCACUGUUUGCUGACACCUGACUAGAGGAACAGCUUGUAAGACCCUGGAAGACCUGCUCCAGCUCAUUAACAGUGAAGGGAACAGAAGAUUUUUAUCUUUCAGAAAGGUAUAUAAGGACUUGGGUCACAGGAAGGAUACAGAACCAGAGCCUUCAAGAGAGGACAGCUCAUGCAUAUGGGCAUCAACUGAUGAAGGUCACAAGGGAAAAGUAAGAGUCAGCUUUUAAAGACAGAAAUGAGUGAGAAAAAUCAUCUUCCUCCACUUUCGCUGGGUACUUGCAUAUACAGGCAAAGAGAGACAGACCAAAGCUGGUGUUUAAUUGUACGCAUUCGUGGAUGAAGACGGAAGAAGUCGAGAAUGACAGAAAAGAUUUCAUUAAAGUUUGCAAGACAAGAGAUUAGGGAAAAGUUUACAUGUGUUAUUCAGGUGGGGCAAGCUUCCCUAACGGGACAUUUGCUCCAAUUUGGGUGGCAGGUGAAGACGUAAAGAGAGAGUCUAAUAUAGAAGUUUUCCAUAGGUAAAAGCAAAUAGGGAGUGUUCCAGAUGAUGACGGCUUUCAGCGUGGGUCAUCAAUGGAGAAAGGACAGUACGAUGUGUGGCAAGGAGAGGAGGAAGCAGGAAAAAAUAAUAUACUGGAGGAAGAACCUAUAAUCCGUAAGUCUUCAAUGAGCAAUAUUCAUUCAGAGGAAUAUAGCUUUCAUACUGUAACAUACCUAUUGCUGCUGCAACAAAUCACCACAGUUAGUGGCUAAAAACAAGACAAACUUAUUAUUUUGUCAUUCUGGAGGUCAGAAGUUCUAAAUGGGUUUGCAGUCACUAAAAUCAAGGUGUUGGCAGAGUUGUGGUUCUUUCUGAAGUGUCUAGAAAAGAAUUUUUUUUACCUCUUUUUCAGCUUCUAGAGGUUGUCACCAUUCCUUGGUUUCUGGCCUCCUUCCAUUUUCAAAGCCAGUGAUGUCAGGUUGAGUCUCACACAUUGCGUCACUCUGACACAGAUUCUUCCACCUCUCUCUUCAUGUUAGUAUGUAGUAUUCUACAUACUAACAAUGUAGUUACUCUUGUAACUACAUUGGGCACACCUGGAUAAUCCAGGAUAAUCUCCCCAUUUAAAUUCAACCAAUUAGCAACCUUAGUUCCACUUAUAACUUAAUAUAUUCACAGGUUCCAGGGAUUAAGAUGUAGACAUUUUAAUGCCCAUUCUACUGCUUAUCACACAUACAUAAGUUAUUUUUUUAAAUUAUCACAUUUGCUUGAGUGAAACCAUAUGACUUUUUUUUUCUAGUAUUGGAGGAAACACAUCCAACCCGAUUAAGCUAUUUGGGACAUAGCAAUUUUUUCCUCAAUUUUGUUUAUGUUCCUCACUAAGGAUAGGGUACAGUGGUAUAUAGGAAUCAAUUAAUCUUUUAUGAUAUAUUUGCCACUAGUACAUUUGUACUUUAUUUUUCAUUUACAGACUUUUAAUUUUACAUACAAGUUCCUACCGGUCUGAAAGUGUUUACAGCAUGCAUUUCAAGGCCUAGGCUGUUGACACCAUACAUGCAUCUAAAAAGUCUAUGAGGUUCACAGAGCUGAACGUUGUCAAGGAAGUUGACAAGGAAGUCAUUCAGAGAAAGAAGUGGAAACCAAAAUUGAGGAAACCAAAAUAUACUGAGGGAUAGGAGGGACAGAGCAGUCCUAAGCUCCAUAUCCAAAAGAAUAUGUUAAAGUACACACUAAGGAAGAGGAUAUAUCCUGGUCCUCUGGACAGUUUCAUGAGCACCAACCCAUGCUACCAGCUGCACCACAAGCAGCCCCAAAGACCUUGGAAAGCCCUCUGUGUCAGCACUUCUCAAUGGUUCCAUGAGGAUCCAUGCUGUGCAGAGGUGGGCAGUCAGAGGCCAAGGUGCUGGCAUGUUAUCAGAUGGCGGAAGUGACCACAGGCAGUGGACACAGCAGGACACACAAAGCAGACACCACAUUGCUAGAAGCAUUCCUGCUGACCUGGGAACAUGAUAAUCAGCAACAGAUAGUCCACAUAUGUGAAAAUGUUAACCAGAAAAGACUACUCACUUGAGGGUCAUCAGGUACCUUGGAGACCAGUUCUGCCAGCAAAUGGUAACUUUAGAUAAACAAAUGUAGGGGAGAAAAUAUGUAUUUGUAUAUGUAUACAUUUUGCCAGUUUCUGUGAAUGAAUCAUUUGCUCUAGGAAAGAAGAUUUUUAAGCUGUCACAGGCCCAAAGAACAAAUGAUUAUAAACUUUUCUGAAAUAGUUUCUAUCUUGUGGCUGGAAUAAGAUAUCUCUUUGGGAAGCAACCUUUUAACUUGCUUAAAUUCUAUACAUUAUCCUUUCUCUCCACUUCACAAGUACUUACAAAACCUUUCAUUCAUUUCUACUAUUUAAGAUUUAAUUCAAGUCUAGCUAUGACUGUCUAGUUAGAACUAAUUAUGUUUAUGCUUCUUCUCUAAUGUUCCCAUUUUCUUUUCUAAUUGACUUGUUUUCCCACUCUAUUUUGUUGUUUGUGUUUUUCAAAGCAUUGAAUUAGUUUGCCUUUGAUUACCACUUUGGCUACAUACCAAAGAAUGCUGUUGGAUUCUUUGUAAUUCCAUGAAUCAUUUGACUCAACAUUCAAAAAUUGUUUGCAGAGUAUUCUUCCAGUAGCAGUACAGUAUUAUCAAUGCCUUCAUAUGUCUUUUUUUAUCUGUUUUAUCAAUUUCAACUUUAUCUUUGUAUGGUCCAAAAAAUGAUGAUCUAAUUAUAUACAUUAUUACUUGGAUAGUCAAUGCAGAAUUGGUAUUUAAAAAUCUAAUCCAGAGUAGAAGGCAAUCAAAUACUUAUCAGAUAUUUACAUAUUUAUGGAAAGGGGAAGGAGAUGGAACUAACAAAGAUCAGGAACCUACUAUGUGCCUGUCUGCCUGCCUAUCUACUCUACUUACCUACCUAAAUUAAUCUUCACAAAAGCCCUAUGAAAAAAUGUCCUUAUGCUUAUUUUGUUGAGGAGAAAACUAAGACUCAAGCAAGGAUAUUAUAUAUAACUUUCCCAGGGUGCAAAGAUAUUAAAUGGGAAAUAUAGAAUUUAAAUACAGGAGUGGAGCACAGCAUGGGCGGAACAACAUAAGAAGUGGAGCCAGCCUGACCUGGGUUUGAAUCACAACUCUACCACUAUCCCACGCCUGAGCCCAUGAGGUCAAGGCUGCAGUGAGCUGUGAUUGUGCCACUGCACUCCAGCUUGGGUGACAGAGCAAGACCCUGUCUCAAAAAAAAAAAAAAAAAAUUGUGUGCUCCCAGACAAGUUAAACUCUUUGAGCCUUAGACUUCCCAAUAUAUGAACAGACAGUUCACAACGUGAGGACUGAAUUUGUUCGUGUUUGCAGAGGGACCUAGAACAGUGCUUCUACCGUGUCACAUUAUCUUUAAAACUCAAUUUUCAAAUACUAUCGAUAAAACAGUAAAAUUCCAUUUAAUAAUAAGGUCAUAAGAUGGUGAUUUUAAAAUGAAAUAAAUGCCUCUAGCUAAGUGGGAUUCCAGGAAGCACAGUCUAAGAAUGGAAGGGUAAAGUGGGCUUUGACGUCAGGUUGACACUGUAAACUCAAACUAGGACUGGAGCUGGAAGUCGGUUUAUGCACUGAUCAAGCCAUUUAUGAUUCAAGCCAGCAAAUACCAUGAGAAGGGCUGGCCUGAGAAGGGAUGAAGUGCUUGUGUGUGCAUGUGUUUGCUGGAAUGGGGGUGAUUACACAACUGGAAAUAGCUGAUGAACUUAGAUGAGUUAUCAGCAUGUAAACCUUGGCCUAACCCGAGUGUUUCUCUCUGUUCUUCAAAGAAGUCAAUGAAGAAAUAGGCCCUUUAAAGCCCUUUUUAGAGAAUCAGGAAGAUUGUUCACACGCAGAUUUGGAACUUCCUGACUCAAUGCUUCUCUUUUCAGCAUUCCAUACUUAACUUGAACUUUGCAACAUUCUGAAUUUUACAAAUAAUAUAUAGCUCUGCAAUUUCCUGUGAUUUCAAUUCUAUUAACGUUACUUAAUAAAAGUGAUCAGUCCGAGGCAGGCGGAUCACGUGAGGUCGGGAGUUUGACACCAGCCUGACCGACAUGGAGAAACCCCGUCUCUACUAAAAAUACAAAUACAAAAUUAGCUGGGCGUGGUUGCGCAUGCCUAUAAUCCCAGCUACUCGGGAGGCUGAGGCAGGAGAAUCGCUUGAACCCGGGAGGCAGAGGCUGUGUCAUAGUGAGCCGAGAUCACCAUUGCACUCCAGCCUGGGCAACAAGAGCAAAAUUCCAUCUCAAAGAAAAAAAAAAAAAACAGAGAUAAUAAAACUGAUUCAAAAAAGGUAGGUAAUGGCAGCUAUUCUGGAUGUUUUUGAUGGUGAAAAGAAACAUCUUGAAAUUUCAAUAUAAGGAGUCCAGAGCAUUAUUAUUUUCCUUAAAUGUCUCCCAAACAAGAACCAAAUAAAUCAAAGCAUUCUGCAUUUAGCACUGAUACAUGGUUUUGCAAGCGAGGAAAAGGUUGCUGACUUUAAUUUCUAGUUUUAUAAUAUUUGCAAGGAUUAACAACAUUCCAUUUGGUAAAACCUUGUGUUCCUUGGUUACUUUUCUUUGUAUGUGUAUGUGUACUUUUCUAUGUAUCUUUAAAUAGUUUUUAUUGAAACCUGCUAAGAAGGCCAAGAUCUCUGGCAGUUUGCUCCACACGUGGGCAAAUCCUGCCCGCAGUGGCUGUUGGUCUUGCUGUUGUGGGCUAGACAGCUAUCCUGGCAAUGUGUGCUACUGGCCAAUCUGUAAACAGGGCAGCAUGAUUCUAACUGUUCCGGCUUUUCUGCCUGCCUUGGGGACAUAGCAACAGGUGUACCUAAUUGUGUUUAAAUGUCUAAGACACACUUACAAGUGAGUGUGCAGGCGGUGAAGUGUUCAGAUUACAAUAUUGGCCUUAGUUGCCUUUGAAGAGAAAAGUAGCCUCAAAAACAGGAGCAUUUAACACCACCAUUAAGGCCAAAGCAAGAGGGGCCUUUGGCCCAAGACCCACACUAUGGAGAACUCUGCUUUGUGUUUUCCAUUGCCAGUCCCUUUCCUACAGUGUAAGGAGUCCACAGAGCCAGCUGGAUGUGACUUCUUGGAGCCUGUGCUUCCCUCCCUCCUCCCAUACCACCUCUUCUUAUCUGAGACCCUAGAAUUCCCUGCCCCGUGGCUCUGAGUUCCCUUCCAGGCCCUGGCAGUUCUCUUCUCCAACUCUACCAUUCAGAGGCAUGAAGAGACAGCCAAAAAGGGGCAGCUGUUUGCAAAAGGUAGACAAAACUUGAAGACUGGGCUGAGGUGUCCACAAAUCUGAGCACAAAGCUGUUCAUAAUAUAAGAUGGGGAGUGAUGAAGCAGUCUAGGGCCAGAGGCUGGCGACACGGGCUGGCUAUGUCUAUGUCAAUAUUUUCUGGUAUGGAACUCAGGGGAGACAGAAUUUCAAAUCCAAACUCAGCCUUCCAAGUUGUUAUCAAGACAUAUUUGUCAAGGUAGGUGGAUAGAACAGAUUUUAUUUAUAGUCUGAUUCAUAACUUUUAAAAUAUUUAGACACAUGGUAUCCUGGGCCCUGUAAAUUGCAGGGUUGGGCCAGGCAGCAUAUCCUUUAUGCAAGUAAAACUAUUGGGGAAAUAGAACGAACCUUGCUCCUAAUUUAACACUGGCUCCCCUUGAAAACACCUAUAUUAUUUAAUAGGAAAGCAUAGCAUUAAUUUAUUCUAUCAGAGGACUAUAUCUUAAUUUUGAUUAUACCACUUCUCUUUUCUGGAAAUCAUUAACUGGAGAGACAAUCAGAGUGGCAGUGUAGAAACAUGUUCCCUUUGUACUAAGAAAACCUUCACAACAAGCAUCAAUCAGGUUUGAAGUGCUUGUAUUAUCAUCACAUAAGGCCCAUAUUCUUGCAGAGAAUCUCUAAUUUUUAUGACAUUUUAUGGUAGUAUAUUUUAUACAAGGAUGGUAUAAAGAAAGAAAACAAUUCCUGUGAGUUUAGGAAUUUGCCUAUCCCAAACAAGAGUUAUUUAUUUAUCAGGGGGGCCAGCAACCACUAUCUUCACCUGUGGUUGAGAGCAAAACCACCAUAAAGACAGUGUCAAAGCCAAGAGCCACUUGGGCUAGGCACAGGAUGACAGAGUGUGGCAAAGUGGCCAGUAGGUGGCACCGUCAUGCUUACUCUAUGCCAGGGAAUCUUUUUCUCUGGUUGGGUCUGCCCAAAUAGCUGCAGUGCUACCUGACAAACUCUUUACUAAACAAAUAACUUAGCGGUGGACUUUGCUGAAGAGGACUGUGUGCUGAGAUUUCUUUCCUGAUGUCUACAGUGACCAUUUUAGUCCUUGAAAUAUUUUAAAAAGUCUUCAACUUCUAUUUUGGUUUAUUUCCCCACUUCUAAGCUCUUUAGGGAAAUUGCUGUCGUAAGCACCCACAAAAGUCCAACUUCAUAGUAUUUCUCUGAAAUAGUAUUGACAGGCACUUUCUAAGGAGAAGGUACACUUUUUGGUCUAGGAGUUUUUUGUUUUUUUUUUUUUUGCCCAGAGUAAAGAAAUCUAAUGUAUCAAUCAUGAAAUCCAAGAAGACGUCCUAUCAAUUGGUAGUCUGUCCUUUGUACUUCCUUCCUUGAGUAUUUUUAGGGUACCUAUUGCAUGAUUAUGUUUAGAUCACAGUUAUAAGCAAAUUUUCUCCAUUCCCUGAAGAGGAUGAGAGGAGAGGUUAUAGCCCAGAGCCAGCAGGGAAGAAAGCCACGCAUAGGAAGCUAAUGAGCAGGGAUCCCAGAGAGAAAGAACCGCAGCCCUGGGCUGCUGAGUCAACAGAUUCCUUUCUCAAAUCCAAGAAGAGAAAUGAACAGAAUGACAAACCAGGAACAAGGAAGAAAAAAUGGGACACGGAGCCAAUUCUCUGGAACUUUGGGGUCACUUCUAUAAUUUAUUUUCAAGUUGUCAGAAAUUGUGCUAAUGUAGAUGAGCAGAUUUACAACUAAAACCAAACUACGACUUCUUUAAAAAAAUGUUUGAUUUAGGUCUGGUCUCAGGAUGGGUGUACAGGAGCUGUAGGGUGUAAUUUGUUCUUUUCCGGCAGAUUUAGUUUUCCAAAUGCAAUUUGCUUAGACUAAUAUUCCAUUUAGUUUUCAUAUUCUAAAUAUCUACUAACAAAAAGUGCAAGGGGAAAAGAUGGCAAGCGUAUUAAGAGGCAUCCUGUAAGGCAGAGGAAAAAAAACUCUGAAACAAAGUAAUAAAAACUUUUAAGCUAGGCACCUGGCUUGUGAUUGUCAGAGAGAAAAUGUGUGUCUAUGUGUUUGUGUGUUUGGGGGAGUUGCACAUAAUCCCUAUUUUGAAACUAUAAUAAUUUAUAUGGUGAAAAACUGAAAGAUAGAUUAAGCCCAUCCCAUUUGACUAUUUGAAGUGAGGCAGUCCUACUUUCUAAAGUUAGUUCUACCACUUGCUAGUUUUGAUUUGGGGCAACUUUCAAUUUCUCUUUUCCUCACUGGUGAAAUAGGGAUACUGAGACAUCUUUUGCAAGGUUUCAAUCAGUAUCAAAUAAGAAUGUAAGACAUCUAGAAUAGGGAUUGGCACAAGGCCUGCCCUCAAUUGGAAAAAUACUAAUAUAGUAAAUAAUAAGCUUCACUCUAAAUAACAAUCAACAGUAUAAUUUUUGACAAGUAUUCCUUACAUUUUCUAAGCCACUACUCUUCCAUGAUUGUUUUUUUUUUUCCUGCAAACUAUCUCGACUUGUGAUAAUAUUCUUUGCUUUUAAAAUACUGUUGUAACAAGUCUAUUGUUCAACAGGCACAUUUAAAGUGUAUUCCCUAGUCACACUAGCACAAUGCUUGCUAAAAUUUGUUUUUCUUUGGUUUGAUUUUACUUUAAGCACCAAUAUUUGUUUACUAUGAAUGUAAUUCUACUUCCACCAAAUGGAAUUCUUUCACUGAGCUUUUAUCCCAAAAGCUUACAUGUUCAAUUAUUAUUGCUCUUCUUCAGUUUCUAGGUUUUGAAGAUUUUUUUCCUUCCAAAAAAAUUAACUGAGUAUAUCAAUUUUGAUGAAUCCAAGACAUUUUUCUUUUGAUGUUAAAUUGUUACAGGUUAAAUUUUUCUCUAUUACUGAAAUAUUAUCUUUUCUAUAUUGAUAUUCGCAAUUGAACACUUAAAGACUCUACUGGUUUCUCUUUAUUUGAAAAUGGCUAAAGAGGUGGCUUAGACAUAAUAUUAAGUAUAAUUAAAUUAUGAUUAAAAGAAUUGAUAUAUUUAAUAGAUUAUUAAAAGGUUUGUAACAAAAUCAUUUUAUGAAGCAAUCAAAAUUUCAAAGAUUCAGUGAAUAUAUUAAUGGACUAUGUAUGUUUUAAAGAGAUAAAGCAGAAAGAUUCUAAACAGCCAUAACAUUUGAAUAAAAGGACAUUUUUCUGCUCAAUUUGUCUGGUCAGAGUUGUAUGGAAAGCUUUAUGAUUUUUAAAAUUGUUUAUUUAACAGGUAUGUAAACAGAUGCAACUCAUUUAUUUUAUUUUAUUCUUACUCUUAAAAUUUCACCACUGCCAGAAAGCUUGUGGACAAAUUUAUAAUAUUUAAAUGAAAAUUUAAAAAUUAUAUAAAUUUUAGCAAUAAAUAAAUUGUUUCCUUUUUAUCAUUUAGGCAAAAAAAAAAAACUCUAGAAUUGCAUAUGCUUUAAAUAAUUUACUAGGCAGUAUUAAUGUAGUAGCAUACUGACAUUUACAGGAAAACUUCUUGGGACUGUGAAGCUGUUUCCAGCUUAGGGGAGUCCAUUGUAUAGCAGUCUUUAUUUCAAAACACCAACAACAUUUAUAACAUUGAAAUGACAGCAUUAAAGUCAAUUUAAAAGUAAUAGUUUGUAUGCUUGUAUAUAUCUUGUUUAUAUGUAAAACGGGUUGUUCUUUCCUGCCUGCCUGCUCAAAUAAUGUAAGUAAUGUUAAUUUUAAAACUCAGUAAAACUGAGUUCACAUUAUUGAAAAGAUACAUUCAUUGUUCUUAAGUCACCUUAAAAGGAAAGUCUUUUUGCUUGCUUAUGAAACUAUUUAACUGACACCUUUUCCAAAGCAAGCACCUGUAAAGGCAAAACAAAUACCCAGCAAAGUUUGUGACUAUUUUGCAGGUUUGCCCUUGAAAUUGUUCCUACUCCAAUCCUACUCCAAUCUGUAGCAGGUCAUAAGCAUGGCAGAUUAACAGCAAGGACUUUGGUGCCAGACUGCGUGGUUUCAGAACCUGAUUUCACAAUUUAGUGGUUGUGUGACCUUGGGCAAGUUACUUUUUGGUUCUGUGUCUCAUUUCUUCUUCUUUUUUUC
rnacentral:lncRNA from 1 species